rnacentral:rRNA from 1 species
ACGAUGAAGCCCAGCUUGCUGGGUGGAUUAGUGGCGAACGGGUGAGUAACACGUGAGUAACCUGCCCCUGACUUCGGGAUAACCUCGAGAAAUCGUGGCUAAUACCGGAUAUGACACGCAUUCGCAUGGGUGUGUGUGGAAAGAUUUAUCGGUUGGGGAUGGGCUCGCGGCCUAUCAGCUUGUUGGUGGGGUGAUGGCCUACCAAGGCGACGACGGGUAGCCGGCCUGAGAGGGUGACCGGCCACACUGGGACUGAGACACGGCCCAGACUCCUACGGGAGGCAGCAGUGGGGAAUAUUGCACAAUGGGCGCAAGCCUGAUGCAGCGACGCCGCGUGAGGGAUGACGGCCUUCGGGUUGUAAACCUCUUUCAGUAGGGAAGAAGCYCCUCGGGGUGACGGUACCUGCAGAAGAAGCGCCGGCUAACUACGUGCCAGCAGCCGCGGUAAUACGUAGGGCGCAAGCGUUGUCCGGAAUUAUUGGGCGUAAAGAGCUCGUAGGCGGUUUGUCGCGUCUGCUGUGAAAACGCAAGGCUUAACCUUGCGCCUGCAGUGGGUACGGGCAGACUAG